rnacentral:tRNA from 1 species
GGAUAUAACUCAAUGGUCAGAGUGUUGGACUUGUAAUUUGAAGGCAUGGGUUCAAAUCCUGUACUUUUAACU